rnacentral:rRNA from 1 species
AUUGAUCGCUGGCGGCAUGCUUUACACAUGCAAGUCGAACGGUAACAGGCCUUCGGGUGCUGACGAGUGGCGAACGGGUGAGUAAUGCAUCGGAACGUACCCAGAGGUGGGGGAUAACGCAGCGAAAGCUGUGCUAAUACCGCAUGUGAUCUGAGGAUGAAAGCGGGGGACCGAGCAGCAAUGUUUGGCCUCGCGCCUUUGGAGCGGCCGAUGUCGGAUUAGCUAGUUGGUGGGGUAAAGGCCUACCAAGGCGACGAUCCGUAGCUGGUCUGAGAGGACGACCAGCCACACUGGGACUGAGACACGGCCCAGACUCCUACGGGAGGCAGCAGUGGGGAAUUUUGGACAAUGGGCGCAAGCCUGAUCCAGCAAUGCCGCGUGCGGGAAGAAGGCCUUCGGGUUGUAAACCGCUUUUGGCAGGAACGAAACGGUGUCCGCUAAUACCGGGCGCUAAUGACGGUACCUGCAGAAUAAGCACCGGCUAACUACGUG